ACUCCUACGGGAGGCAGCAGUAGGGAAUCUUCCGCAAUGGAGCGAAAGUCUGACGGAGCAACGCCGCGUGAGUGAAGAAGGUUUUCGGAUCGUAAAACUCUGUUGUAAGGGAAGAACAAGUAUCGUU
rnacentral:rRNA from 1 species